UUUUAGCCCUGAUGGAAGUGGCAUCCUUUUCUUGUCUCGUUUUUUAACGAGGAAAGAAAAGAUAUAACGGACAGCAGGAAUAGCU
rnacentral:sRNA from 1 species